rnacentral:rRNA from 1 species
AACCCUAAAAAUCGUCUCAGUUCAGAUUGCAGGCUGCAACUCGCCUGCAUGAAGUCGGAAUUGCUAGUAAUCGCAGAUCAGCAUGCUGCGGUGAAUACGUUCCCGGGCCUUGGACACACCGCCCGUCAAGCCAUGGAAGCCGGGAGUGCCUGAAGUGCGUGAGCGCAAGCAGCGCCCUAAGGUAAAACCGGUGACUGGGGCUAAGUCGUAACAAGGUAGC